rnacentral:tRNA from 1 species
GCCCAGGUGUUGGAAUUGGUAUACAAGCAAGAUUAAGGAUCUUGUGGGGAAACCCAUAGGGGUUCGAGUCCCCUCCUGGGCA